GGAGGGGGCUAGCGUUGUUCGGAUUUACUGGGCGUAAAGGGCGCGUAGGCGGUAUGCCAUGUCAGGGGUGAAAGGCCUGGGCUCAACCCAGGAACUGCCUUUGAAACUGGCAAACUAGAGUCCGAUAGAGGAUGGCGGAAUUCCCAGUGUAGAGGUGAAAUUCGUAGAUAUUGGGAAGAACACCAGUGGCGAAGGCGGCCAUCUGGAUCGGCACUGACGCUGAGGCGCGAAAGCGUGGGGAGCAAACAGGGAUUAGAUACCCUGGUAGUCCACGCCGUAAACGAUGUGUGCUAGACGUUGGGGGGGCCUUAGGCCCCGUGAGUGUCGCAGCUAACGCGUUAAGCACACCGCCUGGGGAGUACGGCCGCAAGGUUA
rnacentral:rRNA from 1 species